GACGAACGCUGGCGGCGUGCUUAACACAUGCAAGUCGAACGGAAAGGCCCUGCUUUUGUGGGGUGCUCGAGUGGCGAACGGGUGAGUAACACGUGAGUAACCUGCCCUUGACUUUGGGAUAACUUCAGGAAACUGGGGCUAAUACCGGAUAGGAGCUCCUGCUGCAUGGUGGGGGUUGGAAAGUUUCGGCGGUUGGGGAUGGACUCGCGGCUUAUCAGCUUGUUGGUGGGGUAGUGGCUUACCAAGGCUUUGACGGGUAGCCGGCCUGAGAGGGUGACCGGCCACAUUGGGCCUGAGCUCCGGCCCAGACUCCUACGGGAGGCAGCAGUGGGGAAUAUUGCACAAUGGGCGGACGCCUGAUGCAGCAACGCCGCGUGCGGGAUGACGGCCUUCGGGUUGUAAACCGCUUUCGCCUGUGACGAAGCGUGAGUGACGGUAAUGGGUAAAGAAGCACCGGCUAACUACGUG
rnacentral:rRNA from 1 species